rnacentral:tRNA from 1 species
AGGAACUUAGGAUUAAUUACAAACCAGAAGCCUUCAAAGCCUCCAAAAAGAGUCAAACCUCUUAGUUCCUG